AGGGCUCUGCCAUGUACGUGUUUCGAGGCGUUAUUUUAAGGACCUAUAACAAUAUUUUGGGAACCCGUCUUUGCUAGUAGGCGUACAAUUCUUAAUGAAGAAAGGUACAAGGCUAUCAUGGGGUAGACCACCGUGAAAUACGGGUCCAAAAGAUAGUCUCCCACGGCAUUACGGUGGAGCCUUA
rnacentral:other from 1 species